ACUCAAAUGAAUUGACGGGGACCCGCACAAGCGGUGGAGCGUGUUGAUUAAUUCGAUGGUAAGCGAAGAACCUUACCAAGGCUUGACAUAUUGGGAAUUUUGGCGAAAGCCGAGAGUGCCUUCGGGAACCCAAAUACAGGUGUUGCAUGGCCGUCGUCAGCUCGUGUCGUGAGAUGUUUGGUUAAGUCCAUCAACGAGCGCAACCCCUAUGAUUAGUUGUAUUUUUCUAGUCAGACUGCCCCGGUAACGGGGAGGAAGGAGGGGAUGAUGUCAGGUCAGUAUUACCCUUACGCCUUGGGCGUCAAACGCGCUACAAUGGCCGGUACAAUGAGCAGCCAAGCAGCAAUGCGGAGCAAAUCUCAUCAAAGCCGGUCUCAGUUCGGAUUGCAGGCUGAAACUCGCCUGCAUGAAGCUGGAAUCGCUAGUAAUCGCAGAUCAGAAUGCUGCGGUGAAUACGUUCCCGGGUCUUGUACACACCGCCCGU
rnacentral:rRNA from 1 species